CAGGCCUAACACAUGCAAGUCGAACGGUAAGCUUCUUCGGAAGUGGACAGUGGCAGACGGGUGAGUAACGCGUGGGGAUCUGCCCAGAGGUUCGGGACAACCAUUGGAAACGAUGGCUAAUACCGGAUAAGCCCGCAAGGGGAAAGAUUUAUUGCCUUUGGAUGAACCCGCGUAGGAUUAGCUAGUUGGUGAGGUAAUGGCUCACCAAGGCUACGAUCUUUAGCUGGUCUGAGAGGAUGAUCAGCCACAUUGGGACUGAGACACGGCCCAGACUCCUACGGGAGGCAGCAGUGGGGAAUAUUGCGCAAUGGGGGAAACCCUGACGCAGCCAUGCCGCGUGAGUGACGAAGGCCUUAGGGUUGUAAAGCUCUUUCGCUAGGGAAGAUAAUGACGGUACCUAGUAAAGAAGCCCCGGCUAACUCCGUGCCAGCAGCCGCGGUAAUACGGAGGGGGCUAGCGUUGUUCGGAAUCACUGGGCGUAAAGCGCGCGUAGGCGGAUUGAUUAGUUGGGGGUGAAAUCCCGGAGCUCAACUCCGGAACUGCCUUCAAUACUGUCAGUCUUGAGGUCGAGAGAGGUAAGUGGAAUUCCGAGUGUAGAGGUGAAAUUCGUAGAUAUUCGGAAGAACACCAGUGGCGAAGGCGACUUACU
rnacentral:rRNA from 1 species